rnacentral:tRNA from 1 species
GCCCCCGUACUCCAACGGCAGAGAGGGGUCGCUUAAACCGGCCACAGUGUGGGUUCGAAUCCCACCGGGGGCA